rnacentral:rRNA from 1 species
CCCGUUGUACACACCGCCCGUCACACCAUGGGAGUUGGUUCUACCCGAAGGUGGUGCGCUAACCGCAAGGAGGCAGCCAACCACGGUAGGGUCAGCGACUGGGGUG